rnacentral:rRNA from 1 species
GAUGAACGCCGGCGGCGUGCUUAACACAUGCCAGUCGAACGAAGCACUUUAUUUGAUUUCCUUCGGGACUGAUUAUUUUGUGACUGAGUGGCGGACGGGUGAGUAACGCGUGGGUAACCUGCCUUGUACAGGGGGAUAACAGUUGGAAACGGCUGCUAAUACCGCAUAAGCGCACGGCAUCGCAUGAUGCAGUGUGAAAAACUCCGGUGGUAUAAGAUGGACCCGCGUUGGAUUAGCUAGUUGGUGAGGUAACGGCCCACCAAGGCGACGAUCCAUAGCCGACCUGAGAGGGUGACCGGCCACAUUGGGACUGAGACACGGCCCAAACUCCUACGGGAGGCAGCAGUGGGGAAUAUUGCACAAUGGGCGAAAGCCUGAUGCAGCGACGCCGCGUGAGCGAAGAAGUAUUUCGGUAUGUAAAGCUCUAUCAGCAGGGAAGAUAAUGACGGUACCUGACGAAGAAGCACCGGCUAAAUACGUG